GCUCCCUCACACGCAGCGCCCGGCCCCCGCCGCCGCCGCCGGCCCGAGCCGCGCUCGCUCGCUCGGCUCUGAGGGGACCCGCGAGCCGCCGCGGCGGCAGCCACUAGGGGAGGAGGAGGCAGCGCGCCUGCGCCGCCGCCGCCGCCCGCCAAGGGGGCGGCGGCGGCGGAGGAGGAGGAGGAGGAGGAAGGUUGUGGCUGGGGGCGGGGGCGGCCUGUGCCGGCGGUGCCCUCGCGCGCAGGUGCCUGAGUAAAUAAGGACAGGAGCUGUACUGAACCCCGGUCCCUUGACCGAGGCACAACAGAGUGCGUGGAGGUGUCCACAGCAGGGAAAAUGACUUCUCAGGCAGGAACUCAUUUUAAAUGUGAAUCACAACAUCACGGCUCGUACUUCCUAUGGUCGUGUAACAUAACUCAUUGAAGUUGCUUUUGUUUUCCUCUGGAGCUGGUCUGUCCCCUAGAAUUACUUUCUUUCUCUGAACAAAGAAAGGCUUGUGGAAAGAGAUUAAUAUAUGAACCUAACAACUGUCACAGACUGAGGAUCACUUCCUUCAAAAUUUUCAGUCUGAGGGAAAGAAGGGUUGUUUGCACUAUCAUGUCUCCAAAUGUAGUUCACAGAAGCCCAAGAUGAUGCAUCCUUCCCUUAACAUCUCUAGAAAUGCACAGGACCUAUACCUAGACAUAGCCUGAAAACAGUUCAUGAGGUUUUUGUAGUCUACAUCAGAAAUCAAAAGGCUAUGGAUGAUUCUAGUCUCUCCUUUCAGGCCUUGAUAAAUCAUGAAAGCAACAGAAUGUGUUUCCUGCUGAAGAAACAGCAGCUGUAAAUAAAAAAGAGGACAAAAAUCAAGAAAAAAAUUAAACAGUAAAGCCAGUGAUAAGAAAUAUUACUGGUUGUAACCAAUCUGUUGCAAGCUGGAAUUUCCUGCAUCAUAAUGGACCUUUUGACCUAAUUUACGGAGUCUAUUUCUUGUUAAUUAACUUAUCUAAUUCAAAUGUGUUUUCUGUUAAAGAUCAUGUCCUUCAACUGAGAAACCUUUUAGCAUCUACAGUGUAAUACUGCAACAUAAAAUAUAGCUUUUUUUUAUUAGAAACAAAUUAAUACAGAAAUCACGAGCAAUAAACAUGAAGUAUCUCACACCCCUUUGCCCUGACUCACAGCAACAUUUAAAGGAUGAUGUAAAUAAUUCCUUGUUGUGUUUGUCUGGACAAUUAUUUAGAGGCAGACUAAUUCACUACAUGGAGAAGACAAGAACAGCUAGGAAAAAAAGGUUCAAACAGAAAGAAAAUGACAUUCAGAGAAGAUACAUGGCGUUGUUAACUGUGAGAGAAAUAGCUAGAAUGCUGCAUGUAUGACGAGCACGUUGCUUGCAGGUGACAAUCUUUAUUUCAAUAUCAGAAAUGCUAUGCACAGCCAAACUGAAUUAUGCAGCUUGUUACUUCUCAAGAUGGUUGUUCCUCUUGAUCGAUCAGGUCAAGAGGUACAUAAGGCCUUCCAUGCCUUACAUAAGGCAUGCCUGAAAUGGGAAUGAUAAACCAGGAAUACUUAAAUUUUAGAGCACUUUUCACACUGGCAUUGCAGCUGAAUGAACCAUCCCUUUAAAAAAAGAAAUGUUGCAGGGGAUGAUUUUUCGUUAAAUUAAUGAACCUGUUCAGCAGCUUUGAAAGAAUGUGUAGCAAACUCUGAUGGUCAUAAGACUUGCAACAGUCUGUGGGGGAAUAAAUACUGCUGUCCUAUUCUAGAAAUUCCUAUGACAAGGUAUGAGGAUCCAUUCCAUUCACAGAUUUCUCUGUACAAAUUACUUGAAAUACUCUGUAAAAACUGGGUAGAUUUCCAUCAAGGAAUUUUGGCAAAUUACAUCCAAGCAGGUUGCUAUGACAGUUUCUACAAAUAUUUCUAUUUUAGCUUUAUUUUGUGGUAUAAAUAUGUCAAGAUGAAGCCAUUUUUGUCAAAACAGUUAUUUUUCCUUUUGGAAAAAAAUUCCAGGGAUUUUUUCAGUGCCCUAAUUUUCAGUAUUCAUCACAAUCAAGAUGAAGGUUAAUUUCAAAGGUUUCAACUUAUAUCUGCAUAAUCAUGAGCCCAAGUGAACAUAGCUUUAGUCUUACAAAUGCAGAAUGUCAUUAGAUACAGUGUUGUUAGUUUAACUGACUUUGUUUAUUUCUCUGUAUACCAAAUGACUCACAAAUAAAUUACGUUUAACAUUGGCAAAAA